rnacentral:rRNA from 1 species
GACGUAGGGCGCGAGCGUUGUCCGGAUUUAUUGGGCGUAAAGAGCUCGUAGGCGGCUUGUUGCGUCGACUGUGAAAACCUGCGGCUCAACCGUGUGGUCUGCAGUCGAUACGGGCAGGCUGGAGUUCGGUAGGGGAGACUGGAAUUCCUGGUGUGGCGGUGAAAUGCGCAGAUAUCAGGAGGAACACCGGUGGCGAAGGCGGGUCUCUGGGCCGAUACUGACGCUGAGGAGCGAAAGCGUGGGGAGCGAACAGG